ACAAGUGACCCUUUUAUUAGGAGGAGCAUUAGCAUGUUAUGGACUCGUAUUAUUCUUGAAAAUGAGGAAAGUAAGAUCUGAAAGAGCUUCUUCUGAAAUGCGGAAGGUUGCAGGCUUGGCAAUUGUGUCUGUUCUAUGUUUUACUUCAAGUGCUUUGGUUGCUCUUUUUACUGAUAUACCCAUGCUUUAUGACUGGAAUCAUGAGCAUGUUGACGGUGUCUAUACCUCUCUUCUGCUGAUUUUGUAUUACUUCAUAGGUAUUUGUUUUAACUUCUCUCUUCGUGUUU